AGGAAGGCCUAGCGGCGAACGGGUGAGUAACACGUGGGCAACCUGCCCUUGACUUCGGGAUAACACCGGGAAACCGGUGCUAAUACCGGAUAGGAGUAGCCCCCGCAUGGGGACCGCUGGAAAGGAUCUCCGGUCAAGGAUGGGCCCGCGGCCUAUCAGCUUGUUGGCGGGGUAACGGCCCACCAAGGCGACGACGGGUAGCCGGCCUGAGAGGGUGAACGGCCACACUGGGACUGAGACACGGCCCAG
rnacentral:rRNA from 1 species